AUGGGUAUACUGAAAAUGUGAACCCAUUAUUAGAGCCACCCAAUUUUAGUACCACUCCCUCGUGGGUUGAAAAAUAUGAAUCAAUGCCUGCUCCAAUAGCUUCCUCUCUAGAAUCAUCACCUCCUCAAGAACUAAAGUCGCCCUUGGUCACACCUAAGUACACAUAUUUAGAAUCAAGUCACACCCUUCUAGCACCCAUUGUAUCGGACUCAACUCCUAACCCAAAAAUUUAAUUUAUGAGCAUUUUAGAAGAACAAAUAGAAAAAAUUUUCAGCAAACAAUGGUCAGUGAAAGGGUUUGUAAAUUAUCUUCUUAAAACUAGAAAGAUAAAACUGAUCAAGAACGGGAUCGUGCACU
rnacentral:lncRNA from 1 species